CNGUGAAACWGCAGAUGGCUCAUUAAAUCAGUUAUAAUUUCUAUGAUGGUUGUAGUUUCUUUUUCUUUUUUCAUUUUUCGGAAUGAAGAGAGGGAGAUGAAAUACUAAAUGGAUAGCCGUACUAAUUGUGGAGCUAAUACAUGCAUUGAUGUUCAUAUUUUGAAUAUUAUUGAAAAAGUCUCGAUUCUUAUUUCGAUAAGAAGAGGGAUGUGUUUAUUAGACGCGAAAUCAUGUUUCUUCGGAAACUACGGUGAAUCACAAUAACCUGAUCGAAUCGCACUUCUUUUAUUUCUAUAAGAGAUGGCGAUAGUUCAUUCAAAUUUCUGCUUUAUCAACUUUUGUCGGGUGUAUAGAGGACAUCUGAGGUGAUAACGAAUGGCGGGGAAUAAGGGUUCUUUUCCGGAGAGGGAGCCUGAGAAACGGCUACCACAUCCAAGGAAGGCAGCAGGCGCGCAAAUUACCCAAUCCUAACACAGGGAGGUAGUGACAAGAAAUAUCAAUACCGGGUUCUUUUAGAGCUUGGUAAUUGAAAUGAGUACAAUUUAAACCCCUUAACGAGGAUCAACUGGAGGGCAAGUCUGGUGCCAGCAGCCGCGGUAAUUCCAGCUCCAGUAGCGUAUAUUAAAGUUGUUGCAGUUAAAAAGCUCGUAGUUGGAGUUGUUGUGUUGAAUGAUUGGUUUGUUUGUUUGUCGGUUGUUUGAGUUUUUUUGCUUGAGCGAUUUGAUGAAUGCUUACCGCAACACAAUCCUUGAUGUUAUGUAUGAGUAUUUUUUACUUUGUUCAGAGCAUCAUCCUUUACUUUGAAAAAAUUGGAGUGAUUCAAGCAGGCGAAAUUUCAUAUUAAAAUCUUUUUUUUGAUAUAGAUUCAUUUUUGCUUCUGCACAUGUUAGCAUGGAAUAAUGCAAGAGGACUUGGGUUUUCUCUUUCAUUGGUUUCAGGAAUCCGAGUAAUGAUUGAUAGGGACAGUUGGGGGUGCUCGUACUCGACGGCCAGAGGUGAAAUUCUUGGAUUCGUUGAAGACGAACAACUGCGAAAGCAUUCACCAAGGAUGUCUUCUUUAAUCAAGAACGAAAGUUGGGGGAUCGAAGAUGAUCAGAUACCGUCGUAGUCCCAACCAUAAACGAUGCCGACCAGGGAUCAGCGAGCGUUGAC
rnacentral:rRNA from 2 species